AUUGAACGCUGGCGGCAGGCCUAACACAUGCAAGUCGAACGAGUGGCGGACGGGUGAGUAAUGUCUGGGAAACUGCCUGAUGGAGGGGGAUAACUACUGGAAACGGUAGCUAAUACCGCAUACCAUCAGAUGAACCCAUAUGGGAUUAGCUAGUGGGUGGGGUAACGGCUUACCAAGGCGACGAUCCCUAGCUGGUCUGAGAGGAUGAACAGCCACACUGGAACGGAGACACGGCCCAGACUCCUACGGGAGGCAGCAGUGGGGAAUAUUGCACAAGGGGCGCAAGCCUGAUGCAGCCAUGCCGCGUGUAGGAAGAAGGCCUUCGGGUGGUAAAGUACUUUCAGUGGGGAGGCGUUACCCGCAGAAGAAGCACCGGCUAACUCCGUGCCAGCCGCCGCGGUAAUAC
rnacentral:rRNA from 1 species